rnacentral:rRNA from 1 species
UACGAAGGGGGCUAGCGUUGCUCGGAAUUACUGGGCGUAAAGGGCGCGUAGGCGGCACGGACAGUCAGGCGUGAAAUUCCUGGGCUUAACCUGGGGGCUGCGCUUGAUACGUUCGAGCUAGAGGAUGGAAGAGGCUCGUGGAAUUCCCAGUGUAGAGGUGAAAUUCGUAGAUAUUGGGAAGAACACCGGUGGCGAAGGCGGCGAGCUGGUCCAUUACUGACGCUGAGGCGCGACAGCGUGGGGAGCAAACAGG